rnacentral:rRNA from 1 species
GAUGAACGCUGGCGGCGUGCCUAAUACAUGCAAGUCGAGCGAACAGACGAGGAGCUUGCUCCUCUGACGUUAGCGGCGGACGGGUGAGUAACACGUGGAUAACCUACCUAUAAGACUGGGAUAACUUCGGGAAACCGGAGCUAAUACCGUAUAAUAUAUUGAACCGCAUGGUUCAAUAGUGAAAGACGGUUUUGCUGUCACUUAUAGAUGGAUCCGCGCCGCAUUAGCUAGUUGGUAAGGUAACGGCUUACCAAGGCGACGAUGCGUAGCCGACCUGAGAGGGUGAUCGGCCACACGGGAACUGAGACACGGUCCAGACUCCUACGGGAGGCAGCAGUAGGGAAUCUUCCGCAAUGGGCGAAAGCCUGACGGAGCAACGCCGCGUGAGUGAUGAAGGUCUUCGGAUCGUAAAACUCUGUUAUUAGGGAAGAACAAAUGUGUAAGUAACUAUGCACGUCGUGACGGUACCUAAUCAGAAAGCCACGGCUAACUACGUG